rnacentral:rRNA from 1 species
UAAGGAAUAUUGGUCAAUGGACGCAAGUCUGAACCAGCCAUGCCGCGUGAAGGAUUAAGGUCCUCUGGAUUGUAAAACUUCUUUUAUCUGGGACGAAAAAAGGCGAUUCUUCGUCACUUGACGGUACCAGAUGAAUAAGCACCGGCUAACUCCGUGCCAGCAGCCGCGGUAAUACGGAGGGUGCAAGCGUUAUCCGGAUUCACUGGGUUUAAAGGGUGCGUAGGCGGGCAGGUAAGUCAGUGGUGAAAUCCUGGAGCUUAACUCCAGAACUGCCAUUGAUACUAUCUGUCUUGAAUAUUGUGGAGGUAAGCGGAAUAUGUCAUGUAGCGGUGAAAUGCUUAGAUAUGACAUAGAACACCUAUUGCGAAGGCAGCUUACUACGCAUAUAUUGACGCUGAGGCACGAAAGCGUGGGGAUCAAACAGGAUUAGAUACCCUGGUAGUCCACGCCCUAAACGAUGGAUACUCGACAUACGCGAUACACUGUGUGUGUCUGAGCGAAAGCAUUAAGUAUCCCCACCUGGGAAGUACGACCGCAAGGUUGAAACUCAAAUGAAUUGACGGGGUCAUAGCUGUUUCCUG